AGGAUAAACGCUGGCGGCGUGCCUAAUCAAUGCGAGUCGAACGGGCACCUUCGGGUGUCAGUGGCGUCCGGGUGAGUAACGCGUAGCUAACCUGCCCACAGGUGGGGGAUACCCGCCAGAAAUGGCGGCUAAUACCGCAUAGCGUGACGAGGGGGUGACCUUCGGCACGAAAGCCGCAAGGUGUCUGUGGAGGGGGCUGCGUCCGAUUAGCUGGUCGGUGGGGUAACGGCCUACCGAGGCGACGAUCGGUAGCUGGUCUGAGAGGAUGGUCAGCCACACUGGGACUGAGACAUGGUCCAGAGCUCUACGGGGUUUAGCAUGAAGGGGAUAUUGCGCAAUGGGCGAAAGCCUGACGCAGCAACGCCGCGUGUGGGACGACGCCUCUCGGGGUGUAAACCACUUUUCCCAGGGAAGAAGGAUGUGACGGUACCUGGGGAAGAAGCCUUGGCUAAGUACGCGCCAGCAGCCGC
rnacentral:rRNA from 1 species